NUACCCGGGGGUGAUGGGGUUCACCCAAACCGUCCGCUAGGGACUGAUGACCCCUGCCGACUG
rnacentral:ncRNA from 2 species